CCAAUGAAGCCAUACAAGUACAAGUCACCACCACCGCCGCCAGUCUAUAAGUCUCCUCCACCACCGGUGUACAAGUACAAAUCUCCUCCCCCGCCGGUUUACAAGUACAAGUCACCACCACCGCCGCCAGUCUAUAAGUCUCCUCCACCACCGGUGUACAAGUACAAAUCUCCUCCCCCGCCGGUUUACAAGUACAAGUCACCACCGCCACCGGUGUACAAGUCGCCUCCUCCACCAACAAAGCCAUACAAGUACAAGUCUCCACCACCACCAGUCUAUAAGUCACCACCGCCACCGGUUUACAAGUAAAAACCCCCCCCGCCACCGGUGUACAAGUAUAAGUCACCGCCGCCUCCAGUCUACAAGUCUCCUCCGCCACCAGUUUACAAGUACAAAUCACCGCCGCCGCCAGUCUAUAAGUCACCACCGCCUCCAAUGAAGCCAUACAAGUACAAGUCACCACCACCGCCGCCGGUUUACAAGUCUCCUCCUCCGCCGGUGUACAAGUACAAAUCACCGCCGCCGCCAGUCUAUAAGUCACCACCGCCUCCAAUGAAGCCAUACAAGUACAAGUCACCACCACCGCCGCCAGUCUAUAAGUCUCCUCCACCACCGGUGUACAAGUACAAAUCACCACCGCCACCGGUUUACAAGUACAAGUCACCGCCGCCGCCGGUGCACAAACCACCUCCACAUUACAUCUCUGCGUCACCCCCUCCACCAUACCACGUCUAGAUGAGUCAACCCCCCAAGGUAAUACUACUAAUCAACAACUCAUAUCCAAUCACUGAAUAAGGGGCCGUUUGACAUAGAGAAAAUAUAUUUGUAUUUGUGGGAAAAUUAUUUAUUUUGAAAUUAACAUAUUUGCAUUAGUGACAAAUAUCACAAAUAUUUUUAGUUAUCAUUGGUUUAUCUUAUUCUGAAAAACAAUAACGUAAUUCUAAUUUCCUCAAAUAAAAAAUUUAGUUCUAUUAUUUAUGAAAUAUACAUAUCAAACAUUAUAGCCUAGCAAGUUUUUAUUAAUUAAUAAUACUGACCCCUCUCUCAACAACUCGAGCUAUUGGAGAUACGAUGAUCGAUUUUGGACAUGGUAUCAUAGAUUUAAAAAACCAAGAGGUCUCCUUUUCAAAUCCCGACAGUCUCCAUUCCGUACAUAUGACUUAUCGUGUGAACCUCAUUUCUUCUUAAAACUUCUGUCUGAAGGGCAUAUUAAUGAAUACUAUAUACAAAAUUGAUCUGAACCUUCCCCCAACAACUUACAAUGCAACGAUUCAUGACAAUUUUCUCGAUUUAGUACUCGAUACUCGGUACGAAACGGUGCCUUAAUUACUAACUUGUGUCUUGGUCCU
rnacentral:lncRNA from 1 species